CCUACGGGUGGCUGCAGUGAGGAAUAUUGGUCAAUGGACGCAAGUCUGAACCAGCCAAGUAGCGUGCAGGAUGACGGCCCUAUGGGUUGUAAACUUCUUUUAUAUGGGAAUAAAACGUUCCACGUGUGGGAUUUUGUAUGUACCAUAUGAAUAAGGAUCGGCUAACUCCGUGCCAGCAGCCGCGGUAAUACGGAGGAUCCGAGCGUUAUCCGGAUUUAUUGGGUUUAAAGGGAGCGUAGGUGGAUUGUUAAGUCAGUGGUGAAAGUUUGCGGCUCAACCGUAAAAUUGCAGUUGAAACUGGCAGUCUUGAGUACAGGAGAGGUUGGCGGAAUUCGUGGUGUAGCGGUGAAAUGCUUAGAUAUCACGAAGAACUCCGAUUGCGAAGGCAGUUCACUGGACUGCAACUGACACUGAGGCUCGAAAGUGUGGGUAUCAAACAGGAUUAGAUACCCGAGUAGUC
rnacentral:rRNA from 1 species